rnacentral:rRNA from 1 species
GACAAACGCUGGCGGCGUGCCUAACACAUGCAAGUCGAGCGCGGAGGGGACUUCGGUCCCCCGUAAAGCGGCGAACGGGUGAGUAACACGUGGGCAACCUGCCUCAAGGACUGGGAUAACUCCGGGAAACCGGGGCUAAUACCGGGCGAUGUCGUCUGGCGCAAGCCGGCCGACCAAAUGGUAGCUUCGGCCUCCGCCUUGAGAUGGGCCCGCGUCCUAUCAGCUUGUUGGUGAGGUAACGGCUCACCAAGGCUACGACGGGUAGCUGGUCUGAGAGGAUGAUCAGCCACACUGGGACUGAGAUACGGCCCAGACUCCUACGGGAGGCAGCAGUGGGGAAUUUUGCGCAAUGGGCGAAAGCCUGACCCAGCAACGCCGCGUGAGCGAAGAAGGCCUUCGGGUUGUAAAGCUCUGUCAGGGGGAAAGAAGGCACCUGGGUUAAUAGCCCAAGGGCUGACGGUACCCCCAAAGGAAGCCACGGCUAACUAC